AUUGAACGCUGGCGGCAGGCUUAACACAUGCAAGUCGAACGAGUGGCGGACGGGUGAGUAAUGUAUGGGAAACUGCCUCGUCGAGGGGGAUAACUACUGGAAAACGUAGCUAAUAACGCAUACUAUUCGAUGGGCCCAGAUGGGAUGAGCUUUGUGGGGGGGUAACGGCUAACCAAGGCAACGAUCCCUAGCUGGGUUGAGAGGGCGACCGGCCACACUGGGACGGAGACACGGCCCAGACUCCUACGGGAGGCAGCAGUGGGGAAUUUUGGACAAUGGGGGAAAGCCUGAUGCAGCAAUGCCGCGUGUAUGAAGAAGGCCUUCGGGUUGUAAAGUACUUUCGGCGGGGAGGCGGUAUCCGCAGAAUAAGCACCGGCUAACUACGUGCCAGCCGCCGCGGUAAUAC
rnacentral:rRNA from 1 species